GUCCUUUUGAUUAUAAUUUAAGGUCUGACCUGCCCACUGAAAUUAUUUUAAAUGGCCGCAGUAAUUUGACUGUGCAAAGGUAGCAUAAUCAUUAGUUUUUUAAUUAAAAGCUUGUAUGAAGGGUUGGACGAGAUAAAAUCUGUCUCUAUUUAAUUUAUUAUAAAAUUUAAUUUUUAAGUUAAAAAGCUUAAAUUUUUUUAAAAGACGAGAAGACCCUAUAGAUCUUUAUAGUUUUGAUUUUGAAUUUAAUUAAUAAAUUUUUAGGAUUUAUGAUUUAAACUAUUUUAUUGGGGUAAUAGAAAGAUUAAAAUAAUUCUUUUUUUCUUUAAACAUUUAUUUAUGUUUUUAAUGAUCCAAUUUUAUUGAUUAUAAGAUUAAGUUACCUUAGGGAUAACAGCGUAAUUUUUUUAGAGAGUUCUUAUCGAUAAAAAAGUUUGCGACCUCGAUGUUGGAUUAAAGAUUAGUUUAGGUGUAGAAGUUUAAAUUUUUGGUCUGUUCGACCAUUAAAUCUUUACAUGAUCUGAGUUCAGACCGGCGUAAGCCAGGUCGGUUUCUAUCUUUAAUAAUUUUAAAAUAUUUUAGUACGAAAGGACCAAAUAUUUAAUAUAUUUAUAUUUAAUUUUUUGAAUAUUAUUAAAAAUUAUUUUGGCAGAAUAGUGCAAUGAAUUUAGAAUUCAUAAAUGUAAUUUUAUUACAAAUAAUACUUGUUUUUUUUAGAUGUAAUUUUCUCUUUAGUGUGUAUAUUUUUAUUAAUUAUUUGUGUUUUAGUUGGGGUUGCUUUUUUAACAUUAUUAGAGCGAAGGUUUU
rnacentral:rRNA from 1 species